rnacentral:rRNA from 1 species
GUGCAGCAGUCGCGAAACCUCCGCAAUACACGAAAGUGUGACGGGGUUACCCAAAGUGUCCAAAUUUGGACUGUGGUAGGUGAGUAAUGUCCCCUACUAGAAAGGAGAGGGCAAGGCUGGUGCCAGCCGCCGCGGUAAAACCAGCUCUUCAAGUGGUCGGGAUAAUUAUUGGGCUUAAAGUGUCCGUAGCCGGUUUAGUAAGUUCCUGGUAAAAAUCGGGUAGCUUAACUAUCUGUAUGCUAGGAAUACUGCUAUACUAGAGGGCGGGAGAGGUCUGAGGUACUACAGGGGUAGGGUGAAAUCCUGUAAUCCUUGUAGGACCACCAGUGGCGAAGGCGUCAGGCUGGAACGCGCCCGACGGUGAGGGACGAAAGCUGGGGGAGCAAAAGGGGAUUAGAUACCCGGGUAGU